UACGGGGGGAGCAAGCGUUGUCCGGAUUUACUGGGCGUAAAGAGCGCGCAGGCGGUCGUUCAAGUCGCGUGUGAAAGCCCCCGGCUCAACUGGGGAGGGUCACGCGAUACUGAUCGACUCGAAGGCAGGAGAGGGAAGUGGAAUUCCCGGUGUAGUGGUGAAAUGCGUAGAUAUCGGGAGGAACACCAGUGGCGAAGGCGACUUCCUGGCCUGUUCUUGACGCUGAGGCGCGAAAGCUAGGGGAGCAAACGGG
rnacentral:rRNA from 1 species